rnacentral:rRNA from 1 species
AGCGGUGGAGCAUGUGGUUUAAUUCGAUGCAACGCGAAGAACCUUACCUGGUCUUGACAUCCACGGAAGUUUUCAGAGAUGAGAAUGUGCCUUCGGGAACCGUGAGACAGGUGCUGCAUGGCUGUCGUCAGCUCGUGUUGUGAAAUGUUGGGUUAAGUCCCGCAACGAGCGCAACCCUUAUCCUUUGUUGCCAGCGGUCCGGCCGGGAACUCAAAGGAGACUGCCAGUGAUAAACUGGAGGAAGGUGGGGAUGACGUCAAGUCAUCAUGGCCCUUACGACCAGGGCUACACACGUGCUACAAUGGCGCAUACAAAGAGAAGCGACCUCGCGAGAGCAAGCGGACCUCAUAAAGUGCGUCGUAGUCCGGAUUGGAGUCUGCAACUCGACUCCAUGAAGUCGGAAUCGCUAGUAAUCGUGGAUCAGAAUGCCACGGUGAAUACGUUCCCGGGCCUUGUACACACCGCCCGUCACACCAUGGGAGUGGGUUGCAAAAGAAGUAGGUAGCUUAACCUUCGGGAGGGCGCUUACCACUUUGUGAUUCAUGACUGGGGUGAAGUCGUAACAAGGUAACCGUAGGGGAACCUGCGGUUGGAUCAC